rnacentral:rRNA from 1 species
AGAGUUUGAUCCUGGCUCAGGAUGAACGCUAGCUACAGGCUUAACACAUGCAAGUCGAGGGGAAACGACAUCGAAAGCUUGCUUUUGAUGGGCGUCGACCGGCGCACGGGUGAGUAACGCGUAUCCAACCUGCCCACCACUUGGGGAUAACCUUGCGAAAGUAAGACUAAUACCCAAUGACGUCUCUAGAAGACAUCUGAAGGAGAUUAAAGUAUUUAUCGGUGAUGGAGUGGGGAUGCGUCUGAUUAGCUUGGUUGGCGGGGUAACCGGCCCGACCAAGGCGACGAUCAGGUUAGGGUUCGUGGAGGAGGAACGGGUCCCCACGUAUUGGAACUAGGACGACACCGGUCCAACCUCGUAACGGNGGCA